rnacentral:tRNA from 1 species
UAUGGCUUAAUGGUAGAGUGUUUGCCUAGCAUGCAUAAAGCCCUGGGUUCAAUUCCUCAGUA